rnacentral:ribozyme from 1 species
GGCAGCAUCAUGGCGAAGCUUUUCUUUGCUCUUCUUGUUUGUGUUGCUGUGGCUCACUGUUUUGAGGUGACUAAGACUGCCAAUCCU